rnacentral:tRNA from 1 species
AUUUAUAUAGUUUAAAUAAAACAAUACAUUUUCAUUGUAUAAAUAAUAUUCCUAAUAUUUAUAAAUA